UCGUCUAUAUACGUAUAGCAUAUCAAUAAGCGGAGGAAAAGAAACUAACAAGGAUUCCCUCAGUAACGGCGAGUGAAGCGGGAAGAGCUCAAAUUUGAAAUCUUCAAGGUUUUACCUUGACGAAUUGUAGUUUAUAGAAGUGUUUUCUGUUAGAUGAGUAGCAAAAGUUCCUUGGAAUGGGACAUCAUAGAGGGUGAGAAUCCCGUAUUUGGUCAUUCCUUCUAGCGUUGUGAUACACUUUCAACGAGUCGGAUUGUUUGGGAAUGCAGUCCAAAAUGGGUGGUAAAUUUCAUCUAAAGCUAAAUAUUGGCGAGAGACCGAUAGCGAACAAGUACCGUGAGGGAAAGAUGAAAAGAACUUUGAAAAGAGAGUUAAACAGUACGUGAAAUUGUCAAAAGGGAAGCGUUUGACACCAGUGUUGUUUUUCCGAAAAUCAAUUACGAAUGGCUUGAUUUUGUGUUGUAUUGACCUUAUCAGCUUUCUUCACUUUUUUCGAGUCUUUCUUAAUGCACUUUUCGGUUAACAAGUCAACAUCAAUUUCUUUUGUUGUAAAAGAGUAUUCGGAAGGUGGCUUUCUUUUCGGAGAAAGUGUUUAUAGCCUAUGACUUCUGCAAUCGGAGAGAUUGAGGUCUGCAGCGUAGAUCCUUCGGGGUUAGAUACAUUUGUGCUAAGUUAUAGCUUUCAUAGACAACUUGUUGACUAUGAUUAGUCAUGUCGCUUACUCGCUUAUGCUAUUUUACCUACGCUUAGGAUGUUGACUGAUAUGUAGUCGUA
rnacentral:rRNA from 1 species